CAGCUUGUGGCCUGCUCUGGGAAGUCAGGCCUGUGAGGAUCUUCUCUCCCAUUCCACACAUAUCCCCUCUCACACACCCCUCAUCCUGGGAUCCCCAAAGAUGGGAGUGAGGCAUGAUGUGCAGGUGCUUCUGAGGUCUGCCUUUGUAUCUGAGAUGCUGCUUUUAUACAGGAAAAAAAACGACUCUCCCCUGCCAUGUUGGAGACACAAGGCCGUGGUCUUGGGUGUGGGUGCUGCUACUCUGCCAGCUUUGGUGAUCCUAGGUUUCCCACUAGGACAGUUUGGAAUUCUGAAGUCAGGCCUAUGGAUCGAGGAAGCCCCCAGUGAUACUGCCCCAAAGCCACUGGACUCAGGAGGCCUUUCCAUGAGUCCACAGUCCAGCUAAAGAGAUAAGAAGAGAAAGUGGGAAGGUGAAUGGAACUGAAGACAGGAACAAGGCCUAUGUGAAAGUCGGGGUGCAGAGGAGCUCCCCUGUGGGCUGCUGAAAUAUGGGCUCCCUGAGAGGGUGCUGGGAGCCCUGCUGAGUGACAGGUGACUUUGGCUUGCUCUUCCUGCUGUAGCCUGAUUCUAGUCACUCAGAUCCAGCCCCUCCACCCUGCUCCUGUCAAUGCAGCCCAUGCAGGGUCCCCUCUCACUGGGAUAAGCUGCUCUUCCACUCAGAUGUCCCUCUGGGCUUUCUCCAUGUCCUUCUCUUCUGUCAGCCAUCAAAACCCAGCGGAGACCAAAUAGAAGGCCUUCCACGCACCUUCACGUGGGACCUCGGCUCCUUCUCCUUGGUUCCACAGCAGCCCAUGUCUCGACAGGGUUCUCCAUCCUCGAGGAGACCCCAGGAAGCCAGCGAACCCCAGCCCUGGCUCUCAGUCUCUUGGGAUGGGGCUUGGGAACCUGUUUUCCUUCAUCUUCACACACCCUUUGGAUUCCAGGCCAGGAUUGGGUAUGUCUUUUCUGGGUCUGGGCACAGGGCUUAGGUCAUGGUGACUGCAUGUCACUGUGCCCAGACAGCCCCCUAGGCUUUGGCAAAGAAGGGAAGCAGAGUAGGAGGCCCAGGCCUUUUAAUUUGCACCAUUUUCAUUCGUUUAUGUUUCCCUCUCCAUAUCCCAGACACCAUCCUGGGUCCUGGGGUACGAGAGCAAAACGUAAUCCCUGAUCUCGUUGGCUGCACAUGGCACAUAGUCCGGUGGGAGAGACCUGGUGCAUCAGAUUCCUCAUGUGUUCCAUGACAAAGAGCAACAAGGGUCUAACAAAGGUGCUCAGAGAAGCCAUGGUGGGAUCCUGGUGCAGGUCUGAGCCCCUCAGGUCACCCAGGAUGGUUUCUAAGACAAACUUCUUCUCACAGCACCCCGCCCCCCACCAGCCCCUGCCAGCCUUCACUACUGGUCUCCUGAAUCUGCUCUUUGUGUCAGCUUUUGGAAAUGGUAUGUUUUUAAACAGAGAAGAGACCCAUUCUGUUCAUGCCAGAGUCUGUCUGCUAGCAUAUACAGUGCCCUACUGAAUUCCGAAGAGGUGCACUGUCAUUUGAACAGACAAAACCUUGGCACAUGACUUGGCCAGUCUGGCAGGCUGGACUUGAGCCCCUAUCCACUCCUUCCAACCCACGCCCCUCAGCCAAGUGUACUUGUACAGUGAGCAAAUUGGACAACCAUCUGUGGGAAUCCUGCUAGAGACUCCUCUUGAGCAGAACGUUCUGGCUUCUUGGCACAUCCUCACAGCUAGAAGAUUCCUGUAUCCUACAAGGACAUAAUUAUAUCUUCUAUAGGCAUAAAUCUAAAGAUUUAAACAGGAAUUUAUAUGCAUUUUUUGAAGAAUUGGGUAUUUUUCUUACCUAAAUGGAAACAUGGCUUAUUUAUAUAUGGUCCAAGGGAGUUCUUUCAUAUGGUAAUUAACUCACAUACCCUGGAUAAGCCCUAGACUUGGCAUAAGGUUCAAAGCAGAAAUUGGGUUGAGAUGAGACACAGGGAUGUUUCUGGAUCAAAUUUGCUGUUAGCCACUGACACUGGGGUAAUUUGGCUCUCUGAGUGGCAGUGAGUCUCAAAAACCUGGUGAAACAACAUCUUUGGAAAGAAAGCUCAAAAUGUCUUUAACUAGAAAGAAUGGAGGAGGCCUUGCUAUGUUUGGGAGCUAGAAAGAGAAGCAUUUUGCGGUGGAAGAUGAAUCUCAUCCCACGCUGGCCACAUCAGUGGCUUUGAACUGGAGUGGCCCUGGAGAGACCCCUCGCCCAGAUCCUUUCAUCUACCAAUGGGGAAGCUGGGACUCAGAGAGAGAAAGCGGAUUGGCUUAGGCCACAGGUUUAACACACAUCGAAACCCAGCAGGUCUUCCAACACCAGCAAUUUGCAUUUUCUGAAGCCACCUCAGUGAGCAGCUCUGAAAUAAAUUAAAAAGAAUGGUCAAGGCUGAAUGCACACGGAGGUUUCCAUGUGCUCAACUCAGCAGAUUCAGCAUGGUGGCAGAGCCGUGCAGGGGACAGCAUUGGUCAAAGGAAGCUCCAAGACCCGAAUUCAUGCCCUGCUCCACCCUCGAUGGGCAGUGUUAUCAGGGGACGGUUCCAUGGAUCAACCAAACACAACUUUGUAAUUGCUCUGGCACCUGACACGGGACACCUGACGCCUGGCCUUCUCUGGAGAGGAAAAUUCUGUCCCACUGUGGGAAAACCACCGCUGUGAGCAGAAGAUGGCUCAGGGGUGGCCAAGCUAGUCUUGUAUCCAUUUCCAGAGGAAAAAUAAAGCUGAUAGUUUUUGUUCUCUCAAUUAAGACUUUUCUCCUAUAAUAUUUUUUUUUGAGGAGCUGGGGGUAUAGCUCAGUGGUAGAGUAUAUGCCUAGCAUGCAGGAGCUGAUGUCCACCCCCCACCUGCCCCAAAUUUCUUUAAAACAUAUGAUACCUAAUGUUAGUCUGAUAUGUUAGAACUCCAUAUGAGACUCAGACUUAGUACUGAUUAUGUAUUUAACUAUCUUAAGUUCUCUGUAUCACCAUUUCAGCAGACACUGUUUCAGGAGAUUAAGACUACAACAACCUAGGUCUGUGUUUCAAAGUUCCCAGGUGAUUCUGCAACACCGCUGUGCACACAGGUUGAGACCACCAUUGUAGCAUGUUCCAAAGUGGCAGUUCUCAGACUUUGCUGCCAUCAGAAUCACUUGUGCAGUUUUAAAAACUUCCAAUGGCAAGGCCAUAUCUCAGACCACUAAACUCAGAGGGCACCUGCCCAUCAAUGGGCCUUAAAGGUCAGGCAAGGUGGUGCAUGCUUGUAAUUCCAGCAGCUUGGGAGGCUGAGGA